rnacentral:lncRNA from 1 species
AUGUGUUCCUCAGUAAACAGGAGCCGAGCGAUAAACACAAGCCCUGCUGACGGUAAUGAUGUCAAACCCACGUCUCCCCUCUUCCAGCUCUCUCAUCGCUCACUCCGUCCAUGCCCUUCCAAAGUUUUUUUGUUGUUCUCUCCCCAGCUUGCUUUUCACUCGUUCACAUGGACUUCGGUUUCUCGAGGACUGUCAGCAUCGUUGAGCUUGAAAGGACAUGACCCUAUACAAAUAUGUCUGGAAUUGCCCGAGAUUUACACUUUGCCAUGGCUGACUCUCACUACCGGCCAAAAUCCUUGUGGUUCUGCUAAAAGUUUGGAGGAUUUAAAAUUCCAAUACCAUAAGGAUUGUAAAGAAAAAACUAAUCAGCAUGCAUUUGUCAUAAUAGUGGGUGAAAAUGGUACAUUCAAUCAUGAAGUCCCCAACCCGCUAUAUGAAGAGAAGAAACACACAGAGGUGAUUAUUAUUGAAGCAGUUGAUAAAUAUCUUGAUGGAAAUUAUAAGAACCAAAGACGCAAAGAAGAAAUUAUUGUGAUUUUUACGUACAAUAGCCCAUGUAUGAAGAGAGAAAAAAAGAGCAUUGAGCCUUGCAUGUUUCAGCUUUUUAAAAAAGCCCAUCAAUGGAACAGAGAUUAUGGAUUUUCUGUUGUGAUCUUAUUCACAAAGUUUUGGGGACCAAUUGGACCAAAUACAAUAAAAUUCACCGAAGUUGAAAUCAAUCAGCUUUAUUCUUGGUUCAGAGAGUUUUCCAAUGUUCCUAUUCAGGUAGAUAGUAAAGAAUUAUGUAAAAGAUUUAAAGACAUUAAACAGAAUCAGUUACUGUCCGUGGUUCCAAAAGAAUAUAAAGAAAAAGUUAGAUGUGAUUUAAAAAAGUUUAAGAAGGAUCUUAUGGACCUGACAGAAAUCAAACAACCUUUGACCGUUAAACAACUUUCUGAAAAUGGAGAGGAAGUAAUUGGUAAUUUAAGACAAGUAAUGUGUUAUUUCUCAGAAGAACUCGUACCUUUAUCCAAUAUUUGGCAUGAAGCGGUAAAAAGCAGUGCAGUGAAACGUAUUAAAGCUAAAAUAACAGCAGAUGGCAACUCUGAAAUAUUUAAAUUUCUACAAAAUCGGGAGUCCACUUCACAGAACAGGGACCCGAUAUCGAUUUAUCAGAUCUCUCAAAAUCUCUAA